GGCGAAGCUGUGAUUCCUGUCGCUAUUGGCGUAAUAGUUCAGCGGAAAUUGUCGCUAUUGUGAUUUCACUCUGAAUAGGAAGGAAGCGGCGCUGGAUUGUUACACAAGUGUUGCACCAGUGAAGGAUGUCUGUGGGCCACCUUGCAUUCAGUUUCUCAGCCAUGAGGGCCUGCUUGCAAUACCAGUGGCACAGCAGUCUGUUAUGUUGUGCUAUUUCUGGAUGGACACAAGCAUUGCUGAGGAGACAUUUGACCUGCCACUAUACCAAUACUGUAUUUGGCAAAGCAGAAGGCACCUGCAAGCAACCAGUCAUUCCGAUUCUCAACCAAUCCUUCCUCUAGUCAGCCCAUUUCUAGUGUCUUGUCAUGCAACUUGCCAAGGUUGAAGACUGGGCGUGUUGGUAUAGCACACUAGAGGUUGGAUUGAGCAACAUUUUGACGAGACGCACAGAAGAGAAACACACACCACAGAGCGCUACUUGCAACUAUCAAUUUAUUCCCUUGUCAGCGGAAUAAAUACAGGAAGAUACUCAAAGGGGGAGAGUGACAAAAAAAACUUUACAAACAGGGCCAUCCGUCAGUACCAAGCCGGCUUUGUCACAUGAUCAUUUUUGCUGCACUCGACAUCACAAAAAAGAAACGAGGAUACAAAAUUGCAGAUUAGGACAUGAGGAAAUCUAUUUCUUUUGUGCUAAGCAAGACGGAUGGCAUGCUUACGCACAUACUUCCCAUACACAGGCAAUCUCAGUGGCUUCGAUUAUCUCGCAUCAUUUGGCAAAGAAUGGCCAACAUCCGCAAUCUCUACAAUGUAUCCCAAGGUGUUCAGCGACUUCAUGCUCCUUUAAUCUUUCGUUCAGAUAUCGUCCAGUCUGUCCGAUGUACUUCCUGCCGCACUAAAGUGGAACAGAAUAUACCAGUCCCUCAGUGCAGUCGACGAACGUCUUUCUUUAUUAUCUGGGAGGGAGCCUUGCAUUUCAAACACACAUGAAAAAAUAGUGGUGAUAACGUACAUUCAUUCGAUAGCGCACUGUGUAAAGAAAAUUGGUAAAAGAUGCAAUGUAAAAGUGGUGUUUUCCGCACCGGAAAAAUUGCUGAGCACGUGUGCGAAGGUAAACCAAGGUGCCACACAGAUACGAGGCUGUGAAACAUAACAGAGAAUGUUCGUCGACUGCACUGAGGGAGUGGUAUAUAUGCUGUUCCACUUAAGUGCGGCAGAAAGUACAUCGAACAGACUGGAUGAUGUCUGAACGAAAUAUUAAAGGAGCAUGAUUAUGUUUCAAAAGCAGUCGCCAGACACCUUGGGAUACAUUGUAGAGAUUGCAGAUGUCGGCUAUUCUUUGAGAAGUGCAAGAUUGCAUACCUGCCAACUCUUCCGAAUUUUCCGUAAAAUGUACGAAUUUGGACCCGUCUUAAGGUUUUACGAAUGUCGGCUCAAUUUUUACGGAAAAGUGGUUAUAUUCGCGAAAUUAUUUUUUAAAAUUCCUAAUAAAGUCACACCGUUGCUGGUGGGCAGGGGCGCCACUUACAUAGGGGCGCAUAGAGAUGGGGGUGUGUGCCGUAACCUGUAUUGUCUGCAGAGUAAGGACAUUUUUCACUCUGUGACGUUGCCUUCGUCAUCAGGUCGUCGGACGUCACUGGUUGUCGUUACGUCGCCGUCGUCCCCAGAGACGACGGCGAUUUCGGGUGGAUGCGGCAGGCACAGUUUCUGUAUCAGAGGCCGUGGCUUGUCGUCUCACCUGUCACCUUCGCGAGGCUUUUUUCUCGAGUAUAAGCUGUUUUGUGGGCCUCACUUUUUUUUCAGUGCGACUCCGGUACUCCGGUGUUUCGUAGCCGUAGCGCCUAUGAAGUGUGAUGGUGUGCUCGAAGCCUCGUCAGUACUAGACUCCAGCAGUACUUCCAAGUGUGUUUGUGAAGUCGUACUCCUUGACAGAAUUCCCGUGCUGCCCCCCCCCCCCCCAGGUCGCGAGUUUACGAAUUUGAAAGUCUUGGGGUUGGCAGGUAUGAGAUUGUGAGCAAAGAUGGCAGCCAAAUGACGCGAGAGAUAACCGAAGCCGCUGAGAUUGCGUGUGUGAGAAGUAUGUGUGUAAGCAUUCCAUCCGUUUCUCUUAGUGCAAAAGAAAUAGAUUUCUUCAGGUGCUAAUCUAAAAUUUUGUAUCCUCGUUCCUUUUUUGCGAUGUCGAGUGCAGCAAAAAUGAUCAUGUGACAAAGCCAGCGUGGUAUUGGUGGAUGGCCCUGUUUGUAAAGUUUUUUUGGGGUUUUUUUUUGUCGCUCUCCCCCUUUGAGUAUGUUCCUGUACAGUGGAAUGUCGAUACGAAUCUCACGGGGUUACGAAAAAUAUUCGUAUUAGCCGAAAUUCGUAUCAUCGAAACACAAUUAAAACUAGCUAAAUUAAAGAGUCAGAGGGAACUCACUCAGGCACACGCACGUAAAGAGCAUCUACAGUAUAGACCACUUAUAACAUAACCAUUUAUAGUGCAGAACUGGCUACAAUGCAGCCUUUUCCAACUCCCAUUUACACUCUAAUAGAACUCCAUGUAUACGCAUACCUCUUAGAGUG